rnacentral:rRNA from 1 species
CCUACGGGAGGCAGCAGUGGGGAAUAUUGGACAAUGGGGGGAACCCUGAUCCAGCGACGCCGCGUGAGUGAAGAAGUAUUUCGGUAUGUAAAGCUCUAUCAGCAGGGAAGAAAGAAAUGACGGUACCUGACUAAGAAGCCCCGGCUAACUACGUGCCAGCAGCCGCGGUAAUACGUAGGGGGCAAGCGUUAUCCGGAUUUACUGGGUGUAAAGGGGGCGCAGACGGCGAUGCAAGCCAGGAGUGAAAGCCCGGGGCCCAACCCCGGGACUGCUCUUGGAACUGCGUGGCUGGAGUGCAGGAGGGGCAGGCGGAAUUCCUGGUGUAGCGGUGAAAUGCGUAGAUAUCAGGAGGAACACCGGUGGCGAAGGCGGCCUGCUGGACUGCAACUGACGUUGAGGCCCGAAAGCGUGGGGAGCAAACAGGAUUAGAUACCCCUGUAGUC